CUCCUACGGGAGGCAGCAGUGGGGAAUAUUGCACAAUGGGCGAAAGCCUGAUGCAGCAACGCCGCGUGAGGGAUGAAGGCCUUCGGGUUGUAAACCUCUUUUAGCAGGGAAGAAGCGAAAGUGACGGUACCUGCAGAAAAAGCACCGGCUAACUACGUGCCAGCAGCCGCGGUAAUACGUAGGGUGCAAGCGUUGUCCGGAAUUAUUGGGCGUAAAGAGCUCGUAGGCGGUUUGUCGCGUCUGCUGUGAAAAUCCGAGGCUCAACCUCGGACCUGCAGUGGGUACGGGCAAACUAGAGUGCGGUAGGGGAGAUGGGAAUUCCUGGUGUAGCGGUGGAAUGCGCAGAUAUCAGGAGGAACACCGAUGGCGAAGGCACAUCUCUGGGCCGUAACUGACGCUGAGGAGCGAAAGCGUGGGGAGCGAACAGGAUUAGAUACCCUGGUAGUCCACGCCGUAAACGGUGGGUGCUAGUUGUGGGUUCCAUUCCACGGAAUCCGUGACGAAGUUAACACAUUAAGCACCCCGCCUGGGGAGUACGGUCGCAAGACUAAAACUCAAAGGAAUUGACGGGGGCCCGCACAAGCGGCGGAGCAUGCGGAUUAAUUCGAUGCAACGCGAAGAACCUUACCAAGGCUUGACAUAUACAGGAAAAGCAUAGAAAUAUGCUCCCCGCAAGGUCUGUAUACAGGUGGUGCAUGGUUGUCGUCAGCUCGUGUCGUGAGAUGUUGGGUUAAGUCCCGCAACGAGCGCAACCCUCGUCCUAUGUUGCCAGCACGUAAUGGUGGGAACUCAUGGGAGACUGCCGGGGUCAACUCGGAGGAAGGUGGGGAUGACGUCAAAUCAUCAUGCCCCUUAUGUCUUGGGCUUCACGCAUGCUACAAUGGCCGGUACAAAGGGCUGCAAUACCGCGAGGUGGAGCGAAUCCCAAAAAGCCGGUCCCAGUUCGGAUUGAGGUCUGCAACUCGACCUCAUGAAGUCGGAGUCGCUAGUAAUCGCAGAUCAGCAACGCUGCGGUGAAUACGUUCCCGGGUCUUGUACACACCGCCCGU
rnacentral:rRNA from 1 species